AGACUAAAUUAUUCUGGUUCAAAAUGGGCUGUUUUUUGAGAUUUCAGUGGAGAGGAAAAAAAGUGUUUAAGUAUUUUCAAGAGAGGUAACCUCGCUCGGUGAGCCCCGCCCGCGAUCCACGCUCUCUGGGAGCUAGGAGGGGCGCAGGAGCCGGGGUCUCUGCCCUGCCCGCCUGGCUUCCAGAUGUGGUGCAGCGCCAGCGCGCGGGGACACAGUGUCCGCCAGGAGAAGGAAGGGCCGCCCUGCACCACACCAGGCCAGCCUCUGGUGUUAAUGAGAGCCUAUAUUUGGAAGUGGCAUCUGGAGAGGUUUGCCUUGCACAAAGACCAAAUAAUUACCUCUUGGCUUUUGAAAAAGGAAGGGGGAAGCGGGAAGACAAAGGCGCCUGUGAGCGCGGAGGACGCUCUCCUGGGACUCUGGCCUGGAGCGGGACUGCAGCCUUGCGUGCGGCGAGGGCGCUGCGCUACUCAGGGCUUCCGCGAAGCCAGGGGCAGCGCGGCCGCGUGCAAAUUAAGUACUCAUGUCACCGUGUUAGCUAUGGUGGCUUGAAAGAAAUGCUUUGUAGCCCUCUAAAGGCAGGCUGAUCGGAAGAACUGGAAGAUUGCAAAGAUAAAAAGGAACUCUGGCAGAGAAGGGGGGCAAGAGGUGCUGGAGGAAAAAAGUGAAAAAGAAAAUAACAGUGGUGAUGUCAAGACUUGUCAGAGAAAAGUGCAUUGUCAGGUGUACCCAUGUGUGGGUGUGUCCAUGUGGUGUGCCUGCCUUGCUCCAGAAUAAGCCUCCAUAGGUUCCCAUGGCAGUGGACAUGUUUGGUAAACUUGUAAGGUGACAAGGAAAAUUGAUCAAGUUACGUUAAGAGGAAAAAAGGCAUUCCAGGCCACCAUAUCCUUAGUCACGUAGGCUACUACCAGGUCACUUCUAUAGAGGGAGAAUGCCGAGCCAAUUUGUCUGCAUCAUUUCUAUGGCAUGAAUCAAAGUUGUAUUUGUGUCCAUCAGAAUAGAGACUUUAUGCUGGAGGAAAAUCACCCAUGAGCCCCAGGGAAGGCAGUGAUUUGACACAAUGAUGUUGAAAGUCAAGAGUGCUCAGCAUGAAAUGCCCCAGCGAUGACAGCAGGAUUAACCAUCAGUGUGAAGACAGAAUGGGUGUGCCUGUUGAUGAAAGGCGCUUGGACACAGAGGCAGCCCUUCCCUGGCUCUUCUGAGGAUGUCUGCUGGAUGGAGAACAGUCAGAACACCUAUGGAUCUGAAGCUUAACCAAAGUGGAGAUUGAGCAGCUGUGGGAAGUCAUAAGUAAAUCACAUUUACAACUCAGCUGGUUGUACAGAUGCAGUUUGGAAAAUUUGGAAGCUGGUUUUAUAUAUUGUAUCAUUCUCUUUUGAGAAAAGUUGGAUAUUUCUGCUUGGAGUGUGUCAAUGGAUUCCAAAGUGAAUUUGAAAAAAAAAAUCUAGAAAUGAUAGGAAGUGGUAUGCUCUUCAUCACCAUCAUCAUUUUCUUAUGAGAGCACUUAAAUGUAUAUAUUUUGAAGAAAUUUCAGUAGAUACACCCACAGUCAUUUCAGGUUGAUGAACCAUGCUCUUGAAGCCUCAGCGCAAUUGCCAGAGCACUAAGAUGGAGAAACAAUAGACGUUUUCUUUGGAAAGAACAAUUAAAGGUGAUUGAUCACAAAUUCUUUGUCUUACACGCAGCUUAUGUUUUCUUAAGCUGUGUCAGCCUGGAGAUUAAAAGAAGGUUCAAUUAAAAACACAGAAGAGUAGCUGUCUGUCUUUGUCCCUAUAGCUUUGCAGAAGGCCUCCUUCUCAGGCUCUCCCCAUCCUUCCCAGAGUCCUGGGUGGGGGCUUGGGGUCUCUCACGGCCUAUCCAUCUUGGUGGCACUGUUAUUGUCUUUUUCCUCCUUUCCUGGCCCCAAGCCAGGCCUCUGGUAGUCACCAUUGCUGCCAAACAUGCUGUGCAAGUUGCCAAAGCCAUUGCAAAGCUUGUAUGAUGUUCUUGAAGGGUGGUGUUCCUUCUGGCUUCUUUUCCUGUGUACAUGCAGACCCAUUUUGCUUAGACUCUAGUGUCCAUGCUCCCAUGGGCUCCAAUCCUCUGCAGGUAGAGAACAUCUCACUGCCAGAUAUGUCUUCUUCUCUUCCACAUGGAUUGCUGAGCACAACAGCCAUAAGGCCUCACUACCUUUACCCAGCCCUAUGCUGUAUAAAUUUGUUUUAAUCCCCCACCCUAGGGUCUGGAAAUCAGGCCACGGGGCCCAAGAAGAAAAUAUUAAUACGAAUGACAGAUACUGUGCUCAAUGCAAAAUAACCUUUCUUCUUUGACACUGAAGCACUUGUCUUCAGAUCUGUGCCCUUGGAUUACCAUCAUAUUCACUUAGCGAUGGGGAUAUAUUCUGAGAAAUUUGUUGUGCAAUUUAGUUGUGUGAACAUCAGGGUGUAUUUACACAAACCAAGAUAUCAAGCCUACCACACUCCUAAGCUAUAUGAUAUGGCCUAUUUCUCCUAGGUGACACACCUGUACAGCAUGCUAUUGUACUAAAAACUGUAAGCAAUUAUAAAAUAAUGGUAUUUGUGUAUCUAAACAUAGAAAAAGUACAGUACAGUAAAAAUACAGAAUCAUAAUCUUAUGGUAUCACCAUUGUAUGCAUGUUCCAUUGUUGACUCAAACCUCCAAAACAUUGUUUAUGUGAUACAUGACUGUAUUUUCCUUGAAGGCCUCCUGGUCUUUUAUGCAAAUAGACACCUGAUAGGUGAUCUCUCCCCUGCCCUGCAGACAUCUCCUGAUUGUUGAAUGCCAGGAUGAACACAACCUAGGUCCUUGAACUGAAAAUCUUAUUACAUACAGAUUAAGAAAUUAAGAACUAGGCCAGGUAUGGUAGCUCACGCCUGUAAUCCCAGCACUUUGGGAGGCCUAGGUGGGUGGAUCAUGAUGUCAAGAGGUAGAGACCAUCCUGGCCAACAUGGUGAAACCCCAUCUCUACUAAGAAAUAAAAUGGCUUAUUUGAAAUCCUAUGUGUGCUUGGUGACAGAGUAGCACCUGGGAGAGCAGACCCUUCCUCUGCCACACUCAGUCUAUCACCAUGGAUGCUUCUGUUCCCUUCAGCUCUGUGCUUUGUGUCACUUAAAAGCUAUGGAGCAUUUCCCCCUUCAUUUGGUCAAUACCAAACAUUCUGAAAGGGAAUACAGUCACCCACAUGGCAAUGUGGGCAUAAUGUAGAGGACACUGCUCGUAAUUUCUCCCAGCCAGAGACAUUAUAGAUUUGUAUAGCUCUGGAAAGGGUAGAAGAACCUUGAUGACAGAGAAUGAAAUAGCGCAAAUGGGUAAAGGUGGGCUGUACAUUGUUUUAGGAGGAAGUGAUUCUUCAGGUUGCAAAGAUUUCAUGUGCUACCUAUCUAUCAAUCAUCUAACAUCUAACUAUCACCAAUCAAUCUAUCAUCAAUCUAUCAUUAACCUGUCACCUAUCUAUCAGUCAUCUAUCAUCAGUCAACCACCAAUCUAUCAACAAAUCACCUAUCAACAAAUCAUCUGUCAUCAAUCAAUCAUCUAUUUAUCAUGAUCUACCUGUCAAUCAUCAUUUAUCACAUGUCCUCAGAAAUGUACAUAUAGAUAUAUAUAUUUCUUUUUCUUAAAUAAACACUUAUUGAGUGCCUACCUUGAG
rnacentral:lncRNA from 1 species